CAGAAGGACUGGCUUAAAGUAUUAACUGAAGUGAAUAGCCUGAUUCAGCCAUUUCUGGAGGAGUCUUCAGCUGAAUUACAGCCAGACAAACCACAGCCAAGUAAAGGACAGGCCUUCGUAUUUUUGCCUCAAUGACUCCAC
rnacentral:lncRNA from 12 species